rnacentral:rRNA from 1 species
AGUGAACGCUGGCGGUAGGCCUAACACAUGCAAGUCGAACGGCAGCACAGUAAGAGCUUGCUCUUACGGGUGGCGAGUGGCGGACGGGUGAGGAAUACAUCGGAAUCUACUUUUUCGUGGGGGAUAACGUAGGGAAACUUACGCUAAUACCGCAUACGACCUACGGGUGAAAGCAGGGGAUCUUCGGACCUUGCGCGAUUGAAUGAGCCGAUGUCGGAUUAGCUAGUUGGCGGGUUAAAGGCCCACCAAGGCGACGAUCCGUAGCUGGUCUGAGUGGAUGAUCAGCCACACUGGAACUGAGACACGGUCCAGACUCCUACGGGAGGCAGCAGUGGGGAAUAUUGGACAAUGGGCGCAAGCCUGAUCCAGCCAUACCGCGUGGGUGAAGAAGGCCUUCGGGUUGUAAAGCCCUUUUGUUGAGAAAGAAAAGCAGCAGGUUAAUACCCCGCUGUUCUGACGGUACCCAAAGAAUAAGCACCGGCUAACUUCGUG